UACAGAGGUCUCAAGCGUUGUUCGGAUUCAUUGGGCGUAAAGGGUGCGUAGGCGGCGCGGUAAGUCGGGUGUGAAAUUUCGAGGCUUAACUUCGAAACUGCAUUCGAUACUGCCGUGCUUGAGGACUGGAGAGGAGACUGGAAUUUACGGUGUAGCGGUGAAAUGCGUAGAUAUCGAUAAGGAAGACCAGUGGCGAAGGCGGGUCGUCGUGGA
rnacentral:rRNA from 1 species